ensembl:lncRNA
UUUAUAGGGCAGAUUAAACAAGCUUGAGGUCAUAAAGUGCAGCUGCUAUUUAAAUAUAAGCAUCCAGGUCCCAGGCAUCUGAUUAUUGGUAGGUGUUGAGUACCACUUGCAGAGCGAGUGGCCGGCCUGCCUUAAAUAACUCUAACUAGGCCCAAACAGUCCUUAAGAGGUUUCUAGGAUUAGAUCACAGCCUGGCAAAAGCAGAGAAAGUCUGGAAAAGUCCUAGGAGGAUUUUAAAUUUUUUUCUUUUGUUUUAAUCUAGCAGAUCAAGCAGCUGAGGCAAGCUUUGGACCAAAUUAAGCAUUUCAAUAACUCGUAUUUUUAAAUCACAAUCAGCUGGAGGAAUGCUGGUUUGUGCCUGGCCCAGAAGAACAUUCUUGAGGAUAUUUUGAAAGGAUCACCAAUAGGGAGGCUGGGGAAGCAGAUUAUUGCCAUUGCUCCUAAAGGAAAGAAGGAUUUGUUUUAUUCCGAACUGGAGGGUGCUCAGUGGGGUGACUGGCAGAUGGAAAAGGACCUAGCCAAGUGUCUUAGCACAGGCUGCUAUGACAAAAUGCCAUAGACUGGGUGACUUACACAACAUGGACUUAUUUCUCACAGUUCUGGAGGCUGAGAAGUCCAAGUUCAAGGUUCCAGCCGAUUUGGUUACUGGUGGAAGCCUUCUUCCUGGCUUGUAGAUGGCUUCUUGUGUGGUAGAGAAAGACAGCUCUUUUUUCUCUUGAAUCUCUUCUUGUGGGCAUGUGUGCUAAGUCACUUCAGUCGUUUCCGACUGACUCUUUUUAACUCUGUGGACUGUAACCCACCAGGUUCUUCUGUCCAUGGAAUUCUCCAAGCAAGAAUACUGGAGUGGGUUGCCAUGCCCUCCUCCAGGAAUCUUUCCAACCCAGAGAUCAAACCUGUGUCUCCUGGAGCUCCUGCAUUGUCAGGCAGGUUAUUACAAGAUACUGAAUAGUGCUCCUUCUGCUAUAAAGCCCUGAAACAAUUUGCUUAAAGUGAUAGUUACCUCUAAUGAAAAGAUACAUAACGGAAAAUGUCAGCAACCUUUUAAAUCCUCCACAACUUAUCAUGAAGACCGUCUUGUGCAAAGUGCUCGUGGUGAAGCAACUUCUUUUGUCUCCGAUUCCUCCUAAAUUAGGUGGAUUCUUUACCAGCUGACCUACCAUGGAGAGAAAUUGCAGCUUGCCCUCCGUCUCCUAUUGCUGAUGAUCCUUCAGUUCUACCAUCUCCCGGUUCCUGUCCCUCCUCUAGUCUGUAACUCUUCUUGCCUGUUCAGCCCCUUAUUACCAGCAGUUGUACUGUACUACUGUACUUUUCAGGGUACUGUACGAUUAAAAUGUUUUAAUUUUUUGUUCAUUUUAAUGUAUUAUUUGCAUGAAAAGCAUUGUACACCUAUUACAGAACAGUACUAUAUAGCCACUUGUGUUAGUUGGGAACCCAGGCUAAGUUUGUUGGACUUAAUGAUCAAACCAGACUCACUAACCCUCUCUCUGAAUGGAACUCUUUCAUAUGUAGGGGACUCACUGUAUUUGCAAAGAUAUGGGCAGG